UACGAAGGGGGCUAGCGUUGCUCGGAAUCACUGGGCGUAAAGGGUGCGUAGGCGGGGCUUUAAGGCAGGGGGGAAAUCCUGGAGCUCAACUCCAGAACUGCCUUUGAUACUGAAGAUCUUGAGUCCGGGAGAGGUGAGUGGAACUGCGAGUGUAGAGGUGAAAUUCGUAGAUAUUCGCAAGAACACCAGUGGCGAAGGCGGCUCACUGGCCCGGUACUGACGCUGAGGCACGAAAGCGUGGGGAGCAAACAGG
rnacentral:rRNA from 1 species